AAGACCUCAAAUCAGGUGGGACUACCCGCGUGAACUUAAAGCCAUAUCAAUAAGCGGAGGAAAAGAAACUAACAAGGAUUCCCCUAGUAACGGCGAGUGAAGAGGGAAAAGCCCAAAUUUGUAAUCUGGCUCUUUCAGAGUCCGAGUUGUAAUUUUGAGAGGCAGU
rnacentral:rRNA from 1 species